rnacentral:rRNA from 1 species
UACGUAGGGUGCGAGCGUUGUCCGGAAUUACUGGGCGUAAAGAGCUCGUAGGUGGUUUGUCGCGUUGUUCCGUGAAAACUCACAGCUUAACUGUGGGCGUGCGGGCGAUACGGGCAGACUGGAGUACUGCAGGGGGAGACGUGAAGUUCCUGGUGUAGCGGUGGAAUGCGCAGAUAUCAGGAGGAACACCGGUGGCGAAGGCGGGUCUCUGGGCAGUAACUGACGCUGAGGAGCGAAAGCGUGGGGAGCGAACAGG